GUGGCUUCCGGAGCUAACGCGUUAAGUCGACCGCCUGGGGAGUACGGCCGCAAGGUUAAAACUCAAAUGAAUUGACGGGGGCCCGCACAAGCGGUGGAGCAUGUGGUUUAAUUCGAUGCAACGCGAAGAACCUUACCUACUCUUGACAUCCAGAGAACUUAGCAGAGAUGCUUUGGUGCCUUCGGGAACUCUGAGACAGGUGCUGCAUGGCUGUCGUCAGCUCGUGUUGUGAAAUGUUGGGUUAAGUCCCGCAACGAGCGCAACCCUUAUCCUUUGUUGCCAGCGGUUCGGCCGGGAACUCAAAGGAGACUGCCAGUGAUAAACUGGAGGAAGGUGGGGAUGACGUCAAGUCAUCAUGGCCCUUACGAGUAGGGCUACACACGUGCUACAAUGGCAUAUACAAAGAGAAGCGACCUCGCGAGAGCAAGCGGACCUCAUAAAGUAUGUCGUAGUCCGGAUUGGAGUCUGCAACUCGACUCCAUGAAGUCGGAAUCGCUAGUAAUCGUGGAUCAGAAUGCCACGGUGAAUACGUUCCCGGGCCUUGUACACACCGCCCGUCACACCAUGGGAGUGGGUUGCAAAAGAAGUAGGUAGCUUAACCUUCGGGAGGGCGCUUACCACUUUGUGAUUCAUGACUGGGGUGAAGUCGUAACAAGGUAACCGUAGGGGAACCUGCGGUUG
rnacentral:rRNA from 1 species